GGUCCCAUGGUGUAAUGGUUAGCACUCUGGACUGUAAAUCCGGUGAUCCGAGUUCAAAUCUCGGUGGGACCU
rnacentral:tRNA from 2 species